rnacentral:rRNA from 1 species
AUUGAACGCUGGCGGCAUGCUUUACACAUGCAAGUCGAACGGCAGCACGGACUUCGGUCUGGUGGCGAGUGGCGAACGGAUGAGUAAUACAUCGGAACGUGCCCAGUUGUGGGGGAUAACUACUCGAAAGAGUAGCUAAUACCGCAUGAGAACUGAGGUUGAAAGCAGGGGAUCGUAAGACCUUGCGCAACUGGAGCGGCCGAUGGCAGAUUAGGUAGUUGGUGGGAUAAAAGCUUACCAAGCCGACGAUCUGUAGCUGGUCUGAGAGGACGACCAGCCACACUGGGACUGGGACACGGCCCAGACUCCUACGGGAGGCAGGAGUGGGGAAUUUUGGACAAUGGGCGAAAGCCUGAUCCAGCAAUGCCGCGUGCAGGAUGAAGGCCUUCGGGUUGUAAACUGCUUUUGUACGGAACGAAAAGCUUCGGGUUAAUACCCUGGAGUCAUGACGGUGCCGUAAGAAUAAGCACCGGCUAACUACGUGCCAGCCGCCGCCGUAA